GUUGCUUCUUCAGAAAGUCAAAAGAGCUUUUGGGUUUUUGUCUUUUUGAUUGGUGACUGAAUGAAGGAAGGGGAUUAGGAUGAUGAUGACGUGGAAGUGUGAAUGUAAUAACGGGAUUGUGGUUGGUGAGUGUGGAUAAGCUUCACUUUAGUCCCCACCUCUCAGCUCCAAACUCAGUUUUAUCAUGUUUCCCUAGUAACGAAUCGGAUCAAGCCCAAAAUGGCCGGAGCCUGAUCAGGAGGAUUAGCCUUGUCAUAAGCAGCUAUGAGGCUGGACGCUACUUCAUGAAGCUUGUCUUCCACGGCAGGCUUAGCUUCAGGGCUGCAUCAGAUGUAACUCAAAAUCACCACAAGCUCAGAGCUCAAAACUCAAGGCAAUGUAGGAUAUGUUACCUAGCCAAUGUAGCUUGUAAAGGAUAUGAAAGCAAAUCCAACACUACUUUUUGUCUGAAUCUGUCACCAAAUGAAAAUCCCAUCCUUGAGAAGCUCGACUGCUUCUUGUAAUCUAUGAUCAACGUGAAGUGAAGGAAAUAACAGCUUUAAAACCUGGCCUACAGAAGUUGCCCCAUGCCGCUUUGAUAGUUUACUUCUGCUAACUUUUGUUACCCCUGUAUUAUGUCUUUUUAAAAAUGUAAUCGUUGAC